rnacentral:rRNA from 1 species
AUUGAACGCUGGCGGCAGGCUUAACACAUGCAAGUCGAGCGGAGAUGAGGUGCUUGCACCUUAUCUUAGCGGCGGACGGGUGAGUAAUGCUUAGGAAUCUGCCUAUUAGUGGGGGACAACAUUCCGAAAGGAAUGCUAAUACCGCAUACGCCCUACGGGGGAAAGCAGGGGAUCUUCGGACCUUGCGCUAAUAGAUGAGCCUAAGUCGGAUUAGCUAGUUGGUGGGGUAAAGGCCUGCCAAAGCGACGAUCUGUAGCGGGUCUGAGAGGAUGAUCCGCCACACUGGGAGUGGGACACGGCCCAGACUCCUACGGGAGGCGGCAGUGGGGAAUAUUGGACAAUGGGCGGAAGUCUGAUCCAGCCAUGCCGCGUGUGUGAAGAAGGCCUUUUGGUUGUAAAGCACUUUAAGCGAGGAGGAGGCUACCUGGAUUAAUACUCUAGGAUAGUGGACGUUACUCGCAGAAUAAGCACCGGCUAACUCUGUGCCAGCCGCCGCAGUAAUAC